CCCCUUGCGCUUGGGGCAAUGACGCAGCUAAUGAGGUUUUACCGAGGCGCAUCUACUGCUGGUUGAAAACUAUUUCCAAGGCCCCUCUGCUGCCCAGGCAGCAGAGAAUUUCUGGAAGGGUUUAUCCUCAAGGGUAAAACC
rnacentral:snRNA from 1 species